ACUCCGCCUGGGGAGUACGGCCGCAAGGCUGAAACUCAAAGGAAUUGACGGGGGCCCGCACAAGCGGUGGAGCAUGUGGUUUAAUUCGAAGCAACGCGAAGAACCUUACCAGGUCUUGACAUCCUCUAAAAACCCUAGAGAUAGGGCUUCUCCUUCGGGAGCAGAGUGACAGGUGGUGCAUGGUUGUCGUCAGCUCGUGUCGUGAGAUGUUGGGUUAAGUCCCGCAACGAGCGCAACCCUUGAUCUUAGUUGCCA
rnacentral:rRNA from 1 species